rnacentral:rRNA from 1 species
UACGUAGGUGGCAAGCGUUGUCCGGAGUUAUUGGGCGUAAAGCGCGCGCAGGCGGCCCGCGAGGUGUCACGUGAAAGCCCCGGGCUCAACCCGGGAGGGUCGUGGCAAACCGGCGGGCUUGAGGCCGGUAGAGGUGGGUGGAACUCCUGGUGGAGUGGUGAAAUGCGUAGAGAUCAGGAAGAACACCCGUGGCGAAGGCGGCCCACUGGGCCGGUACUGACGCUGAGGCGCGAAGGCGUGGGGAGCGAACAGG